rnacentral:rRNA from 1 species
UACGAGGGGGGGCGAGCGUUGUUCGGAAUUAUUGGGCGUAAAGGGUGCGUAGGCGGUUCCGCAAGUCCUGUGUGAAAUCUUCGGGCUCAACUCGAAGUCUGCACGGGAAACUGCGGGGGCUUGAGUGUGGGAGAGGUGAGUGGAAUUCCCCGGUGUAGCGGUGAAAUGCGUAGAUAUCGGGGAGGAACACCUGUGGCGAAAGCGGCUCACUGGACCAUAACUGACGCUGAUGCACGAAAGCUGGGGGGAGCAAACAGG